UACGGAGGGGGCUAGCGUUGUUCGGAAUUACUGGGCGUAAAGCGCACGUAGGCGGCGAUUUAAGUCAGAGGUGAAAGCCCGGAGCUCAACUCCGGAACUGCCUUUGAGACUGGAUUGCUAGAAUCUUGGAGAGGCGAGUGGAAUUCCGAGUGUAGAGGUGAAAUUCGUAGAUAUUCGCAAGAACACCAGUGGCGAAGGCGGCUCACUGGCCCGAUACUGACGCUGAGGCACGAAAAGCGUGGGGAGCAAACAGG
rnacentral:rRNA from 1 species